ensembl:lncRNA
AUGUAUAUAUAUAUAUAUAUGCAUCGGCUCUUUCUCUACGGGAGGAGGAAUUUCAGGGGAAAAAAAAUAUAUAUCAAAAAAAAAAAAAAAACAAAGAGCAGCAACCAAAACAUAAAACAAAAACCCACCCGGCUGCCUGCAGCAUUUAGCCUUUUCCUGCUCGCUGCCAAAAACACCGAAGCGGGCGCGAGCAGCCUCCCCGGCGGGGACGGGAGACCCCCGCGACCCCCGCCCGCCGCGCCGCGAAGGACGGGUGCGGGGGGCGGCCGCCCGCCCAGCCCCGCGCCCCGCGCCCGGCCGCAGCCCAGGAUUUCGUUUGGGGCCGGGUCGGCGCCCGCGGGCGGGACCCCCGGGACAGCGCCGCCUCCCCCCGGCGCCGCGGACCCCGCGGCCGGCAGCGGCGGGCGGGCGGGGGAACCGAGCCCGGCGGCCCCGUCCGCGAACGCGCACGGCCUGGCUCGGCCCUGCCGCGUCAGAGAAGUUGAACUAGCAGCCUACUUACUAUGCAUUGCUGCAAACGGGUCGUGCUUACAGUGUAUUUCCAUCGGAGCGGUCCGGAGCCGGAGCGGGCAGCCUCGCGGAUCAGAUCUCGGUUCGGCGGCGGCGCUCGCGUGUGGGGCUCGGGGGGGGGGGGGGGGGGAGGAGAAAAAAAAAAAAAAAAAAAAAAAAAAAAAAAAAAAAAAAAAAAAAAAAAAAAAAAAGCAAGCACGCUCCCAAACUUGGGUAUCCGACACCGGCGGCCAAGCGCAGAUCCCCGUGCACAAGUUGCAGCCUUCGGCCGUUCCCUCGGGCAGGGACCGCCGCCUCGCCGGCCGCCCCGCAGCCGCCCGCCGCUCCCGUCGGUGCGCCUUCCCUCCGCCGGCCGCGGCGGCUCUCACAGCGCCAUGCAGCCGCGGCGGCGCGGCUCCAGGCUGCCUGCCGCCCGGCUCCCGAGCGGCGCGGUCCGGCGGGCGCCGAGCCUCCCGCGCCGUCCCCCGGCGGCAGCUAACGGCGCGCCCCGACGGCUCUUUGUGCUGCGGGCGGCGGCGGCCCCGGCUCGCUGUGUCCGGCGGCCGAAAGCACCGGCGGGAGGCAGGCGGCUGCGCCGCGCCGCCGCUCCUGUGUCCGGCGGCCGCCGGGGCUGCCCGAGCGGCGCCGCGCCCGGUGCUGUCCGGCCGAGCCGCCGGCGCGGCUCCCGGCGGCGCGGGAGUUGCGGGAACUUGUCGAGCCGGGGUGGAGCGGCGGAGGGAAGAGGGGCGAGGCGGCGGCGGCGGCGGCGGCGGCGGCGGCGGGCGGCAGGAAGGUGUGUGCGAGGGGGCGGGAGGGCCGGGCGGAGGGAGGAGGGGACGGGCGGAGGGAGGGAGGGAGGGAGGGAAGAAGGGAGGAAGGGAGGGAGCGGCGGGGAGGGGGCUUCGGCGGGGCGCGCCGUUAGCUGCCGCCGUCGGACUUGGGGCGCGGGUGCGCAGCGCCCAUCGCCGCCGCCGCUGGCCGCGGGCGGGGGCAGCUCGGGGACUCCUCCCCACCCCGCCGCCUGCCGUCGGCGGCCCCGGGCGCCCGGGACACCGAGGCUGGGCUGGGGCCGUGCGCCCGCCGCGCUGCCCGCCCCGGCCGGGCCGCGGGGGUUGUGGCGGGCGGGGGCGGGGCGGGGGCGGGGCGGGGCGGGGUGGGGGGCGCGGGCCUGGAGCACGCCCCGCGCCCGGCCCGGUGCCCGCGGGCAGCGCCCGCCCAGGGGGCGCCGCGGGGCGGCUUCAGCACCGCGCCGCUGGACAGCGCCGGGGCGGGGCCCCGGCCGUCACUCAGGCGGCGCGUCCAAUCGCCGAGGGGGAGCUGCGCGGGACGCCGGGAGGUGCCGGCGCCGAUUGGCCGCGGCCGGGCCAAAUGGGGCGGCGGGGGCGGGUGAUGGGAAUGAGCGGGCAGGAGGGCGGGGCCUCGCCGAGGGGGCGGGGCCAUGCGGGGAAGGGGCGGGGCCUCGCGCUCCCGUCCCCCGACGGCCGGGCGGUGGGACCGGGACCCCGGCACCGGCACCGCCACCGCCGGGCCCCGGCCCCCCGACGGCCGCGUCGCCCCUUCCGGGAGCUGCCCCGUCCCGCUCCCUACCGUGCCCCCGCUCCGUCGGGGAGCACCGCGUGGGACCGGGGCAGGGCCUGCCGCAGCCCGACGUGCGCAGGGAGGCGCCGCCAGGCGGCCGAGCCGUCGGGGCGAGAUGGUGGCGCCCCCGCCCUCGCUCUCCGCCCCCCCGCCCCGCCGCCGGCCCGCCCGCCCCGGUGCCGACUCGACGGCGCGGUCUCCUCUCGGCUGCGCGCUCGGGCCGCUCCCGAGCCGCGGUAUCUGCGAGCGGGGGGAGGUUUGUCCGAGCCCCCGCCCCGGACGGCAGGGCAGUAG